GUUGCCUCCCUUUAAUUACUCUCGCGUACUGGUGGCUGACAAAUCAUCAAAUGAUGCAGAGAAGAUUUGUAUUUUUUUGGUAAAUUCCUCAACGAUGACAACAAAAGCGCCAUUUGAGAGUUCCUGAAUACUAAAAGCCGGGACAUUUGGAACUUCAAGCAGACCUUCUAAAUUUUUCUUCAUGAGAUGAUCAUUUCCCACAAUGUCUGACCCAGCAUCUGGAGAUCAUAGCUCACCUCUACCUGUACCUAAGGGUAGUUACACAUUUAACUUUGAAGACUUUGAUGAAGGUUCAAAUCCUUUUCAAUCCAAAACCAAACUUGGACAAUCCCCUCCUGUUAAUGACCCAUUUAAGCCUCGUAAGAAGAUUGCAAACUCUCCACCUCGAUCAGAUGGAUUUGAUGGUAAUGAGGAAGAAAUCAAUCCCUUUAAGUCCAAAUCAACGAUGGCUCGUUCACCUCCUCGAUCUCCUGUGUUUGAGAACAAUAAUGAUGUGAAGAUAGCAGAUGAUAUGCUACUGAACGUGGAGAAAGCUAACCUUGAUGCUAACGUGUCGAACGGUUCCCUGGAGGAUGAAUGGUGUGAUGCUGAAGAAGGCAGUGUGGAACAGGAAGAUAGUUCCGAAAUGUUGGACACGAUUCCAAAAAGUGCAUCCAUUGAUCCCCUUAGCACUUCAGGGGAGUUUGUGAGUGCAUGUGAUGACCCACUGAAUCUCCUUGUCCACACUGAGGAAGGGCUCGGCAGCCCAGGUGAGGAAGAUAUACCUACUGGGGAUGAACCAGCUGGUGCUUCAGACAUGUUAGGUCAAGAUGUUCCUGAACAGGAGCCAGAGUCUGUUGAAGGAGCUGCAGAUGUAGCUCCUGUAGAUUUGGAUCCACCUGCAGAUGUAAUGAUCCCGCCCAAGAAAGUGUUUGAUGAUGCAACAGAAGUACCAGAUGAGGAAGUCAGUCCUGAAGAACCACCACAGACAACAGCCAAUACUGAUGAACCUGACACAGGUGUCCAAUCUCAGUCUUCUGCAAAUCCUGAAGAAGCUGUUGCUGCAUCUUGUCCUCAGGAACUUGCCAAUACUGAUGAGGAUGUUGUGCCCCAGUCUCUGAUGCCUGCAGGUACUGAUGAGCCUGUUGCUGUUUCACCAUCUCAGUCGCCUGCCAGCCCUGAUGACCAGGAUGCUGUUCCCCUAUCUCCGAUGCAGUCAUUUAUUGGAGAGAAAGAAGAUGCAGUUUUAGAUCAGGCACCUGUUGAGAAAAGUUCAGAAACAUCUGUGGUGAAUGACCCUGAACAGGAGGAAGAGGCAGGACUAGCAGACAGUGAAGGGGUUGAGGAGAAGACCGAGAAGAAGAAAAAAGUGAAGAAGAAGGAGAAAGGGAAGAAACUGGAGGAAGUAAAGGCGGAUGUGGAGGGGCAUCGAGAUGCGAGUGCAGAGAAGGAGAGGAGUCAGUCGGAAGUGAAGGAGGAGGAUGAGUCGACCGCCUCCACUAUCCCGACAGAGGCACCUCCCCAGGACAGCUCCACCACCUCACACGAGUCCUCCUCCCCCUCCUCAUCCCCCAAGAAAAAGCCAGGAGUGAAGAAGACAUUGAAAAAGCCGAAAUCAAGACUGAAGCCACCUCAAAACUUUGGUGUUCAGAAUACCGGAGACGAUGUUGAGAUCUUUGCUCCAGCAAUGAAAGCAGCUUACACUACUGAACCAGCGACUGACUCACCUUCUGAUCCACCGCCAGCCAAUCAGCUGCCUGUAGAGGAGGAUCUGCAGUCACAUGACAAAGAAGUAGCCAAACAGCUGCCUGUUGUGCAGGGUCUGAAGUCACAUGACAAAGAAGCAGCCAAUCAGAUGGCUGAUAGCCUGGAGAUGGUCCAUGACUUUGGUGCAGGGGAAGAUGGGGAGAUGCCGGAGUGUGACAAUGAAGGCUUUGUUCCUGCAUCUGAUGUGUUUAGUGACAAGGCAACCUGGGAAAUGCUGGAUAAGUUUGGCGGAGAUGCGUGUAAAGAGUCGGAUCUGGGCCGUGAGUCUCUGUUUGUCAAGUUUGAUCCUCUUGUGCAGGGAGCUGCUGGGCCAGAGCAAGAGAAGUGUCGAGGGCCAGAAGGAGCGGAGGAGGAGUCGGCUGCAGGGAAUGAGGAUGAUCUUAUGUCCUUGAAUACUCCCCCUGCAUCAGGGAAGACUGGCAACAGACACGUGAAGAAACACCCCGCGGCCCGUGUGUUGGCGGAACAGUUGGACGGAGCGGCAGGGGAGACCACUCACACCAACAAUGUAGACAACAUCCUCAAGUGUAGUCCGGGGAAGUUUGGUUUUGGAACGAGAGUGCCCGAGCUUCAGUUCCACGAUGCAUCCUCACUCCCCGUUGCCAUGGGUGACUCAUGGGUGGAGCAGAUCCACAACUACACAGAAAUAGAGGACUCAAACCCGGGACUGUCCCAAGAUUCUCUAGACGCCUUCCCAUGGUGCCACGCUGAUGAAGCAGAUGCAGGCGAUUUGCUGCCUCACAGCGGGGACACACAAAUGAAUCUAGAUAAUGAUAGUGACAGCGGGUUAGCGGACAUGAACCAGUCCAUGGGGGACUCCACCAAGGAGGCCGUGGUCCAGCUGGUGCAGGGCAAAACUGAGAGUGUCCAGGUGCUGAAGUACUCGCAGACCGACUGGAACAAGAUGAAGCAGGACCUGGAGUUGAGUUUCCAGGCCCAGCUGCUGCAGAAGGAGAAGGAGUGGAGCAAGAAGCUGGGCGACCGAGAAAAGAAGAUGGGCUACGUCGAGGAGAAUAACCGUGGACUCAAGCAGACCAAUGAGGAGAUGAAAGCAAUUGUUUCUGAAUUUGAAAAGACAAUUUCCCAACUGCAAGCGGAGAAGGAGAAGACGUGCAACGCGUCCCAGCAGUCGCUGCAGGACAUCGUUCGGGAGAAGGAGCAGGUGCUUGAUGACCUUCACUCCGUGGAGACGGCCUUCUCCAACCUGCAUCAGCGCUACGAGAAGACGAAAGGGGUUGUGGAGGGAUUCAAACAGAAUGAAGAGGUUUUGAAAAAGUGUGUGUCAGAUUAUCAAGCGAAGUUGAAAAAGUCAGAACAAAAGUUACAGUUGUUAAAACAGCAAGCUGAAGAGAAGUUGGACCAUGCUAACGUGGAGAUCGAGAAGGAAAGGAAAGGCCACAUGUCGGAGAUGGCGCGGCUACAGGCCGGUCUCAAGAAGGCCGAACUGCAGAUAUCAAGUCUGGAAAAGAGCUUAGAACAAAAGGUGAAGGAAAAUCAGGAAUUGACAGCAAUUUGUGAUGAGCUGAUAUCCAAAGUUGGUGUCGAGUAGCUGUGUCCAUGACGUCUCAGAGAGAGAUGUAAUCAAACCACAGGGUGCUGCUGUAUGGAGGAGGGCUGUCAUGUCACACAUAGAUCACACACUGUUGGAAGUACUUAAUCACUCAGUCAGUCAUAUAUAGUCUGGAAUCUACACCAAAGGAGUUCAUUAUCAUCCUCUUCAGCCAUAUCUACUUUGGACCUGCUCCAUGUGGAGGUGAAACAUUGUGUGGAGUGUGUCUACAUGGAGGUGUUGCAUGAGAAGACAGUGUGGACGUUUCAGACAUGUCCAGCCAAGAGUUUGUGUGUCACAUCAUAUGGUGUGUCUGGUUCUUCAGGAACAUCCCAGUAUGUAUCUGCUUUUCUACCCAAUAUGGCCUAGAGGCUUGGAUGUUCGAACAGAUACGUUGUGUAGAAUUUUAAACCAGAAUGGUUUGCCACUGAACAUCCCCCUAGUGGAGUCAUCAUUGCAUUUUAUGGAAAGUUCAUAAAAAUUAUAAGGCAAUUAUAUGAAUUACUGCUUACCCAGGAUGGGACAUAGAUGGGCAGCUAUGGACUUGCUUGCACUGUAGGAGAGAUGGUGGGUGAGAAGUGUGGCAGACAGACAAGUCUCACAUGGUGGGAUCAGCUAUUGUCUUGCUUGCACUGUAGGAGAGAUGCUUGGUGAGAAGUGUGGCAGACAGACAAGUCUCACAUGGUGGGAUCAGCUGUGGUCUUGCUUGUACUGUAGGAGUGGUGCUUGGUGAGAAGUGUGGCAGACAGACAAGUGUCACAUGGUGGGAUCAGCUAUUGUCUUGCUUGCACUGUAGGAGCGGUGCUUGGUGAGAAGUGUGGCAGACAGAAAACAAGUCUCACAUGGUGGGAUCAGUUAUGGUCUUGCUUGCACUGUAGGAGUGGUGCUUGGUGAGAAGUGUGGCAUGUUGGAAUCAUCUGUGGUGUUCUACUUCAUCGUUGACUUGAACAGUUGGGUAGCCUUGUGGUUAAAGUGUGCAUUCAUCAUGCUGAGUUUGAUUCCCAACAUGGGUCCUGGUGAUACUGCUGGACUAUUGCUAAAAGCUGUGUGAAUCCAUUCUCCCUCACAGAACCUGCCAUCACUGACUGGAUGUGUCUCCAAGUAGGAUUCUCCUGAAGUGUGUCUUGUACUCUGUCAUCACUGACUGGAUGUGUCUCCAAGUAGGAUUCUCCUGAGAUGUGUCUUGUACUCUGCCAUUACUGACUAGAUGUGUCUCCAAGUAGGAUUCUCCUGAGAUGUGUCUUGUACUCUGCCAUUACUGACUGGAUGUGUCUCCAAGUAGGAUUCUCCUGAGAUGUGUCUUGUACUCUGCCAUCACUGACUGGAUGUGUCUCCAAGUAGGAUUCUCCUGAGAUGUGUCUUGUACUCUGCCAUUACUGACUGGAUGUGUCUCCAAGUAGGAUUCUCCUGAGAUGUGUCUUGUACUCUGCCAUUACUGACUGGAUGUGUCUCCAAGUAGGAUUCUCCUGAGAUGUGUCUUGUACUCUGCCAUCACUGACUGGAUGUGUCUCCAAGUAGGAUUCUCCUGAGAUGUGUCUUGUACUCUGUCAUCACUGACUGGAUGUGUCUCCAAGUAGGAUUCUCCUGAGAUGUGUCUUGUACUCUGCCAUCACUGACUGGAUGUGUCUCCAAGUAGGAUUCUCCUGAGAUGUCUUGUACUCUGCCAUCACUGACUGGAUGUGUCUCCAAGUAGGAUUCUCCUGAGAUGUGUCUUGUACUCUGCCAUCACUGACUGGAUGUGUCUCCAAGUAGGAUUCUCCUGAGGUGUGUCUUGUACUCUGUCAUCACUGACUAGAUGUGUCUCCAAGUAGGAUUCUCCUGAGAUGUGUCUUGAACUCUGCCAUCACUGACUGGAUGUGUCUCCAAGUAGGAUUCUCCUGAGAUGUGUCUUGUACUCUGUCAUCACUGACUGGAUAUGUCUCCAAGUAGGAUUCUCCUGAGGUGUGUCUUGUACUCUGCCAUCACUGACUGGAUGUGUCUCCAAGAAGGAUUCUCCUGAGAUGUGUCUUGUACUCUGCCAUCACUGACUGGAUAUGUCUCCAAGUAGGAUUCUCCUGAGGUGUGUCUUGUACUCUGUCAUCACUGACUGGAUGUAUCUCCAAGUAGGAUUCUCCUGAGAUGUGUCUUGUACUCUGCCAUCACUGACUGGAUGUGUCUCCAAGUAUGUUUCUCCUGAGAUGUAUCUUGUACUCUGUCAUCACUGACUGGAUAUGUCUCCAAGCAUAUUUCUCCUGAGGUGUGUCUUGUGACUGGCCAGUUGAUAAUGCUGAAAUGAUCUUGGUGUGGAAGACUCUGUGUGGAUCAUAUCAAGGAAUUAAUGGUUGAGUCUCUCUCCUUGGUCCAACUCUGACAUCAACACAAGCAGCAGCUUCAGGACUCCCAGUCUUGUCAUCAUUAGUUGGUCUGUGUGUGAGGGACUCAGAAUCCUGGGUGGAUAAUGCCCUUGUGAUGUGACUUGGAAUGACCAUUUUCACCAUGUACAUGUGACCGUAACUUCUAGGUUUCCUCAAGUGUGUGUUCCUUUGGUUUGAUUACUUGUGGAAAUUUUCAGGAUCGGUUGACAAUGUGUGUAUUCCUCUCAAGAGUAACAGUGUUGGACUUAAUCAGGGAGUUAGGGAGUGGAGAUGCUCCUGAGGACCACAGUUUCUAUCACAACGGUGUCAUGUGAGCCCGUUAUGUUCAAUGAGUGUCUGUUCCAUCAACCAAGUUGUAUCAUGUAUCAUAUACCAUGUACCUGUGUACCAUAGGAAUGGAUGUGGGUUGUAUCGGGCUCCAUCAGACACUGGAGCCAGUAUCAUAACAAGGUUGUACCAUGUGUAGCGUGUACACUUGAUCAUAAUUACCAUAUGUCAUGUAACAAGUUGAUUGGCAGACACUGGUGCCAGCACUUUCGCAAGGUUGUAUCAUGUGGAAUGAAUGUAUGCAUUGUGAGUUAGCAACAGACAUAGGGACCAUGACAAGCUUGUUCCAGUGUACCAUGUGAAGUAUAUGGUACAAGCAAUGAGACGGCUUCACAUCAGCUUGAUAGAGUUUGUUGCAGCAGGGGGGUCAAUAUACAUCCACUGGGUGGUCAAGACACCUUGAUGCAUGGCAUUGCUCUGUAUGUAUAUACAGAUCUCAAGACACCUACAUGUGUUGCAUUGCUCCUUAUAGAGGUUAUCAAGAUGCCUGGAUGGGUGGCAUUGCUCCUUAUAGAGGUUAUCAAGACACCUACAUGUGUUGCAUUGCUCCUUAUAGAGGUUAUUAAGAUGCCUGGAUGGGUGGCAUUGCUCCUUAAAGAGGUUAUCAAGACACCUACAUGUGUUGCAUUGCUCCUUACAUAGGUUAUCAAGAUGCCUGGAUGGGUGGCAUUGCUCCUUAUAGAGGUUAUCAAGACACCUACAUGUGUUGCAUUUUGGGUGGCAUUGCUCCUUAUAGAGGUUAUCAAGAUACCUACAUGUGUGGCAUUGCUCCUUAAAGAGGUUAUCAAGACACCUACAUGUGUUGCAUUGCUCCUUACAUAGGUUAUCAAGAUGCCUGGAUGGGUGGCAUUGCUCCUUAUAGAGGUUAUCAAGACACCUACAUGUGUUGCAUUUUGGGUGGCAUUGCUCCUUAUAGAGGUUAUCAAGAUACCUACAUGUGUGGCAUUGCUCCUUAAAGAGGUUAUCAAGACACCUACAUGUACGGCAUUGCUACUUAUAGAGGUUUUCAAGAUGCCUGGAUGUGUUGCAUUGCUCCUUAUAGAGGUUAUCAAUAUACCUACAUGUGUUGCAUUGCUCCUUAUAGAGGUUGUCAAGAUGCCUGGAUGGGUGGCAUUGCUCCUUAUAGAGGUUAUCAAGAUGUGUUGCAUUGCUCCUUAUAGAGGUUAUCAAGAUACCUACAUGUGUUGCAUUGCUCCUUAUAGAGGUUAUCAAGAUGCCUGGAUGUGUUGCAUUGCUCCUUAUAGAGGUUAUCAAGAUACCUACAUGUGUGGCAUUGCUUCUUAUAGAGGUUAUCAAGAUGCCUGGAUGUGUGGCAUUGCUUCUUAUAGAGGUUAUCAAGAUGCCUGGAUGUGUGGCAUUGCUCCUUAUAGAGGUUAUCAAGAUGUGUUGCAUUGCUCCUUAUAGAGGUUAUCAAGACACCUACAUGUGUGGCAUUGCUCCUUAUAGAGGUUAUCAAGACACCUACAUGUGUUGCAUUGCUCCUUAUAGAGGUUGUCAAGAUGCCUGGAUGGGUGGCAUUGGUACUUAUAGAGGUUAUCAAGACACCUGGAUGUGUGGCAUUGCUUCUUAUAGAGGUUAUCAAGACACCUACAUGUGUGGCAUUGCUCCUUAUAGAGGUUAUCAAGACACCUGGAUCAGUGACAUUGCUCCUUAUAGAGGUUAUCAAGAUGCCUGGAUUAGUGGCAUUGCUCCUUAUAGAGGUUAUCAAGAUGCCUGGAUGAGUGGCAUUGCUCCUUAUAGAGGUUGUCAAGACACUUGGAUGAUUGGCAUUGCUGUGAUCAGUCCUCGGAAGUGAACUUUUACAAUGCUACUGUUUCUUGUUGUGAACCUUCUGGCAGAUAUUAAUCAUGAGAAACGAAGUGUGUCAGAAACUUGUCAUGAGGCAGUAGAUCGUUCGAGCCCUACCAUCAUAUAUUUAUGCAAUAAGCUAACACUGUCUGAGUCAUCACAGAGAUGGUCAACUAUACUGUCUUGUAUACCACCGUGUCUAGUAUCGAAGGGUCCGACCCGGAUGGAUGAUACUACCUACAGCACGACUAACUUACAGAUGGAUCUCUUAUUCAUGAAGUACUUCAAACCAGUGGAUGAGCUUUUGUCUUCAUUAACUGUUGUACACCAGACGACUGUACCAUUACCUCAGGUGUGCUGUCCAGCCUUCUGUCUACUGUGCAAUGUACAUACUCUGUAUACAGGCUUGCUUGUGUGUGAUAUGGUCACUCUGUAUACAGGCUUGGUGGUGUGUGAUAUAGUCAAAUCUUAAACAAAGUCUUAAUUAUAUAUUUCCAUCAAGGUAGUCAGUUAUGCUUCAUUUUCUAUAAUCAAUACAAUACUUCUGAAUCUAUACUUAAAACUUGUUGCAGUUUACAUGAUUGAACAUGAUGUAAGGUGUGUGGGUUGCUAAUGGAUGGUAGUAAAGUUUGUUUCAGCUAAGAUUAGGGUAGUUAAUUUAUUAGGUUGAUUACCACUACCUUUUAGUUUCUUGUGUACAAUGUUAUUUGUGAACCUAUGCUAUGCUUGAUAUGAAGAGAUAUGACUGUUUGAUUGCCCUGUCUGGUAAUGAGGAUGCUUGAAGUAGUAGACACAUUGACAUUUUUUAUCACUGACAACAAUGGAACCACUCUGAAGAUGAAAGUGAGCUGUUUCCUACUUUCCGUUUGGUAGUGUUCAUCCAAGCAUUGUACAUCAAUUGAGUACCUAUUCAAAUUCAUGAUGAUUUCAAAACUGUUAUAUAAAAUUUGUUGCCAUGAAAAUAGUUCCCUUUCAGAUGACAAUCACCAUUUAAGUGCAGCAGAUGCAUCUUGGUUAAAAGAAACGUCAUUCCAACAUGACUUUGUCAGAACCUAUUGUAGCAGUUAUUCAGUGACAAACCAAAAAGGCUGUGGGGUCCUUGAAGUCUUCUUUAUUUGAAUCUAGGGACAGCCUAAAUAUUGAAAUGUUAACAUUAUAUGCGAUAAGGACCCCUUGACAUUCAUGGUUAAUUCCAAAUACUGUAAAUAAUAUUUUAAAAAAUUCUACUCCUAAUUGCCAUAUGUUUACAUUAUAUAUGAUAAGGACCCCUAAACAUUCAUGGUUAAUUCCAAAUACUGUAAAUAAUAGUUUCAAAAAUUCUACUCCUAAUUGCCAUAUGUUUACAUUAUAUAUGAUAAGGACCCCUUGACAUUCAUGGUUAAUUCCAAAUACUGUAAAUAUUAUUUUUAAAAAUUUUUUACUCCUAAUUGCCAUAUGUUAACAUUAUAUAUGAUAAGGACCCCCUGACAUUCAUGGUUAAUUCCAAAUACUGUAAAUAAUAGUUUCAAAAAUUCUACUGCUAAUUGCCAUAUGUUAACAUUAUAUAUGAUAAGGACCCCGAGACAUUCAUGGUUAAUUCCAAAUACUGUAAAUAUUAUUUUCAAAAAUUCUACUCCUAAUUGCCAUAUGUUAACAUUAUAUAUGAUAAGGAGCCCCUGACAUUCAUGCUUAAUUUCAAACUCUGUAUAUAAUAGUUUUAAAAAUUCUGCUCCCAAUUGCCAGCUAUAUGAGAGGGCUUUGUGUGACCUGCCUUGUUACGUGUUGAUUCCUGUAGAGCAGUGUCGCUGCACACAAAAUCCCCUGCUGUGUUUCCCGUUACUCUGCACUAUUUUUACCAGCGGAGGGUGACGUGGCUGUGGUGUGCACAUCUGUGAUAUAUGCUGUUUAUAGCUGUGUGUUGUGUCCGUGUCACACAGCAUCAGGUACAGCGCCACAGUUAACCCACGUGAUAUUAAGUCUUUAAAUAUUUCACUGAUGUGUUUAUUUCAGAGCACACAGUGAAUAAAUUGCCAAUUCAUGAUUUGACCAAGAAAGUCUAAAUUUUGAUUGAAAUUUCUUUAAUAUUAAAAUCAUUUACCGUAUUCGACGUAAUAAAUUCUGGAAAAAUAUAUCUGUCGUGUAUAACACGCAGACUUUUCUUUUGUAUUAUUUCAGGCUGUCAGCAGAAACCAUAAAAUUUACGAUCUUUCGACUCUU
rnacentral:misc_RNA from 1 species